UACGUAGGGCGCAAGCGUUGUCCGGAAUUAUUGGGCGUAAAGAGCUUGUAGGCGGUUGGUCGCGUCUGCUGUGAAAACCCGAGGCUCAACCUCGGGCGUGCAGUGGGUACGGGCCGACUAGAAUGUGGUAGGGGAGACUGGAAUUCCUGGUGUAGCGGUGAAAUGCGCAGAUAUCAGGAGGAACACCGAUGGCGAAGGCAGAUCUCUGGGCCAUUAUUGACGCUGAGAAGCGAAAGCAUGGGGAGCGAACAGG
rnacentral:rRNA from 1 species